UACGUAGGGUGCAAGCGUUAAUCGGAAUUACUGGGCGUAAAGCGUGCGCAGGCGGUUAUGUAAGACAGAUGUGAAAUGCCCGGGCUUAACCUGGGAACUGCAUUUGUGACUGCAUGGCUAGAGUUUGGCAGAGGGGGGGUAGAAUUCCACGUGUAGCAGUGAAAUGCGUAGAUAUGUGGAGGAACACCGAUGGCGAAGGCAGCCCCCUGGGUCAAGACUGACGCUCAUGCACCGAAAGCCAGGGGAGACGAAACGGGAAUUAGAAACCUCA
rnacentral:rRNA from 1 species